UUGAACGGCUCGCCACCGCGCCAUGGCCCUGAGCGCUACGUGCAUCUUUCCAACAGCUCCAGGGAUGGGGACUUCGCCGCCUCCUUGGGCAGCCCGUUCCGAUGUCUAAUCACCGUUUCCAUGAAAAAAACCCACCUUAUGUCCAAACUAAACCUUCCCUGGCACAGCUUAAGACCGUGUCCUCUCGUCCUGUCCCUUGUUCCCCGGGAGCAGAGCCUGACCCCCACCUGGCUGCAACCCUCCUAUCAGGGAGGUGUGGUGAGCAGUAAGGUCAUCACACACUGAAAUCUGAGGGGUGUAUGACCCAGGGUACUUCUGAAGCUGUUGGCGGACAACAUUUGCAAGCAGAAGAGUAAAAGAAAUGGAUGUCCCUGGAAAUACCAGUCAUGUAGCCUUCCUCUGAGACAGAGUUGUAUUCAACUAUUAAAAAAUAUAAGAUUAUUAAAAGUAAUAUUGGUAUA